CCUACGGGCGGCAGCAGUGGGGGAUAUUGCACAAUGGGGGGAACCCUGAUGCAGCGACGCCGCGUGGGUGAAGAAGGGCCUCGGCGCGUAAAGCCCUGUCAGCAGGGAAGAAAAUGACGGUACCUGAAGAAGAAGCCCCGGCUAACUACGUGCCAGCAGCCGCGGGAAUACGGAGGGGGCAAGCGUUAUCCGGAUUUACUGGGUGUAAAGGGGGCGUAGACGGCGAUGCAAGCCAGGAGUGAAAGCCCGGGGCCCAACCCCGGGACUGCUCUUGGAACUGCGUGGCUGGAGUGCAGGAGGGGCAGGCGGAAUUCCUGGUGUAGCGGUGAAAUGCGUAGAUAUCAGGAGGAACACCGGUGGCGAAGGCGGCCUGCUGGACUGCCACUGACGUUGAGGCCCGAAAGCGUGGGGAGCAAACAGGAUUAGAUACCCUGGUAGUC
rnacentral:rRNA from 1 species